UCUUUUAUAAGAGUAGCCCUGGUCGU
rnacentral:piRNA from 1 species